GUUUCUUUCUGUCAUGAUGACAAACGACUCAUAAUCGCUUGGUCGCUGGUUCAAGUCCAGCAGGGGCCACCA
rnacentral:tRNA from 1 species